GGCCCCCGCAUCAACGACAUCAAGAGGAUCAUCCAAGGCCGCCAGUGAGAGAUGUGGGAGCUCAAGGAGAAGAUGAACCAGGUGGAGGACGAGGUUUUUGAGGAAUUCUGCCGGGAAAUCGGCGUGCGGA